GCGUCCGUAGCUCAUCCGGAUAGAGCGUAAGACUCCGACUCUUAAGGCGGCAGGUUCGAGCCCUGUCGGACGCGCCA
rnacentral:tRNA from 1 species